ACGGAAGGCAGCAGUGAGGAAUAUUGGUCAAUGGAGGCAACUCUGAACCAGCCAUCUCGCGUGAAGGAAUACGGCCCUAUGGGUCUUAAACUUCUUUUAUAGGGGGAUAAAGUGAGGCAUGUAUGCCUUUUUGUAGGUACCCUACGAAUAAGCAUCGGCUAACUCCGUGCCAGCAGCCGCGGUAAUACGGAGGAUGCGAGCGUUAUCCGGAUUUAUUGGGUUUAAAGGGUGCGCAGGCGGCACGUUAAGUCAGCGGUGAAAUGCAGGGGCUCAACCCCGGCACUGCCGUUGAAACUGGCGAGCUCGAGUACGGAUGAAGUCGGCGGAAUGUGAUGUGUAGCGGUGAAAUGCUUAGAUAUGUCACAGAACACCGAUUGCGAAGGCAGCUGUCUAAUCCGCAACUGACGCUCAGGCACGAAAGCGUGGGGAUCGAACAGGAUUAGAUACCCUGGUA
rnacentral:rRNA from 1 species